rnacentral:rRNA from 1 species
GACGAACGCUGGCGGCGUGCUUAACACAUGCAAGUCGAACGGAAAGGCCCUGCUUGCAGGGUACUCGAGUGGCGAACGGGUGAGUAACACGUGGGUGAUCUGCCCUGCACUUCGGGAUAAGCCUGGGAAACUGGGUCUAAUACCGGAUAGGAGCCUGCUUUAGUUUGAGUGUUGGAAAGUUUUUUCGGUGUAGGAUGAGCUCGCGGCCUAUCAGCGUGUUGGUGGGGUAAUGGCCUAACAAGGCGGCUACGGGUAGCCGGCCUGAGAGGGUGGACGGACACAGUGGGACUGAGAUACGGCACAGACUCCUACGGGAGGCAGCAGUGGGGAAUAUUGCAAAAUGGGCGAAAGCCUGAUGCAGAGACGCCGCGUGGGGGAUGACGGCCUUCGGGUUGUACACUCCUUUCGCUAGGGACGAAGCUUUUUGUGACGGUACCUAGAUAAGAAGCACCGGCUAACUACGUG